rnacentral:ncRNA from 1 species
AUUAACUCGUUGAGCAAGAGGAGUACACUAAUUUAUUUCUUCCAAGAGAGUCGGGGUAGGUGGGAGCCCGAUAAGAAAGGAUUUGUGGAAUGGACUUGUGAGAGGCAUCUUGAAGUAAGAGUAGGGAUGCACGGAACUCCACCGUUAAAAGGAUAGGAUAUCGAACGGAUUGUUCCGUAUCUGAAGAGGAAGCAGGUUUUAUCCACUGCUUCAAACGGAGGUGGCACCACGACCAUAGAAUCGUCCUCUAU